AGUAAAUAGAUACCCUGGUAGUCCACGCCGUAAACGAUGAGUACUAGGUGUAGGAGGUAUCGACUCCUUCUGUGCCGCAGUUAAACACAAUAAGUACUCCGCCUGGGAAGUACGGUCGCAAGAUUAAAACUCAAAGGAAUUGACGGGGGCCCGGCACAAGCAGCGGAGCAUGUGGUUUAAUUUCGAAGCAACGCGAAGAACCUUACCUAGACUUGACAUCCCCUCGAAUAACGUAGAGAUACGCGAAGCCCUUCGGGGUCGAGGGAGGACAGGUGGUGCAUGGUUGUCGUCAGCUCGUGUCGUGAGAUGUUGGGUUAAGUCCCGCAACGAGCGCAACCCUUAUCAUUAGUUGCUACCAUUUAGUUGAGCACUCUAGUGAGACUGCCCGGGGUUAACCGGGUAGGAAGGCGGGGGAUGACGUCAAAUCAUCAUG
rnacentral:rRNA from 1 species